GGGGCAGUUGGGAAUGGGUCAUAAGGACAUGAGUAUGGGUCAGUAUAGGGUGAUUAUUUUUAAUGGCACCUGAGAGAGAGUCUUGUCCUCUCCUCUGAAAAUAGUGCACAGGAGGACUGGGGUGAGGGCCUCUCUUCAGUCCAUGAAGGGACUGGAAUCAAGAUGUUUGGUGGUGCUGUGACAAUUAGUGAACUGAGGGUUACGAGGCAGCUGGUGAAACACAGGAGAGGAACAAUGUCCUGGGAUUGAAACUGAGGUGAAAAAGAGAGAGAAUAAAGGAGGAAACCAACUGAAUCAGGAAGAAAGGGGGAGCAGAGAAAGAAAAGCAGACAGUGAAAUGCACCUGAAGACAGGGUGUGCGCCUGACUACGCUCUUGCACUGUCCUGGAAGUGCGUGCCUCUUAGCUAUGGUUUUGGAGAUACCCCCAGCACUUAGAUCAGGAGUGACUGUAGCUGGACUUAUUCCCAUAGCAAUCUGCCUCCUAGUAUUUAGAACAUCAUUUUUCCUUGAACAAAGGCUAGUUCCUGAAGAAAACGCCAGUUCACAUCCUGUGUUGCCCUGGAGCAGGACCAAUGCUCAUCAACAUCUCCCUGUGGAAGUCAGUUGUCAUUCUCCAUUCACAAGUGCCUGGGCUACUGGCAAACAGAGGACACAGCAUGGGAACAGCAGCAGCAAGACUCCCUCAACAUACAGAACUGCAGUGAUCGGGGACCUUGCAAAGAAUGAAAAUAGCACCGUAGAGGGGAAAUCGCAUGGGGCCAGCUGCUUCCCUUUAACCCUCUUACCAAGCUGCAGAGUGCUCGAGCCUGACAGGAGCCCAGAAGCUGAAACUCGGCUAACUGGACGGGCUGGGGCACUUAGACUCAUGAUACUGAAGCACUCGGAUUUAUAUGCAGAAGGAUAUGAAAAAUAGUGCACCAAACUUUUAAAACUCUCCAAACCAGGCUGUAUAGAAAAGGCAUGUCAUAAACAGAAUAAAGGAG